UCAAACAUCUACAACAAGUUCAUGUUUUAUUCCUUACUAUAUCAGUCCCUGUGAUUUUGUAAGACACUUGUCAUAUCAAUCCCUGUGCUUUGGUAAGUCCUUUUUCUUUCCAAUUUAAACACCACCCCCAAUCAUUUUAUCUUUUUUAGUCUUUGUUCUCUGAACUACGGAGCUCUGACUUUCUCAUUGCAUUAUAAGGAUACGUAGGCACGAGAAUCGGAAUCCUUGGAGAGCUCCUUUCUC
rnacentral:lncRNA from 1 species